UGCACUUGUUAGUCUCAUAAGAAUAGAUUUCUGUUUCAGAGGAAUGACUACUAAAUGGCCAUGGGAUGAUGCUAACUGUGAGGCCUCCCUCAGGACUGAGCCCUCCCUUGUGCUUUUCAACUAUUUGGGGGAGUUCUUAGGCUUCAAAGGGAAGAAGAACUAAAGGGACACACCAACAGUUUUAAUUAAUUAAUUUGAGACAGGGUCUCACUAUAUAGCUUUGGCUGGGACCAUCACACUGGUAUCCAACAAAUAUUUAUUAAGUGAUAAAUGCACACCAGCCUGUGAAGAGGCAGAUGUGGGAAGGGCUGUUACAGAAAGAACACAAAAAACUCCCAGCACUGGGGCACAGAGAUGGGAAAAUGUAGAGAGAAUCUCUAUAGCACCACUUGUCAAUAAAAAAGCUGAUGGCCAAUGAACUGGGCCAGGAAAUAGGAGGUGGGAAGAGGGAGGAUUCUGGGAAAUAGUGAGAGAAUAAAAGGAGGCAUGCUGAGAGAGAUAAGAGCUAGAGGCUGAGGGAGACACUGAGGAGAUGAAGGAGGGGUAACUAACCAAGUGGUAGACAUGCACUAGUUUGAAUGGGUUAGAUAAGUUAUAAGCUAGUCAGGAAAUGAGCCGAAGCUAUGUCCUAGGUAUUUAAUAAUAAAUAAUUAGACUCAGAGUCAUCAUGGAGCUGGAGCUGGGAGGAAAAACAGAUUUAAUUUCUUUCUUUCUUUCUUCCUUCCUUUCUUUCUCUCUCUUUCUUUCUUUUUUCAUAGGGGAUUAAGAGUCCAAGUUCAGCUUUGGCUGUUUAUGAAUUCCAGGCUAACCUGGGCUAUAUAGUGAGACCCUAUCUCAAAACCAAAAAACAUAAAACAAAACCAUAACAAGAAGAAGCCAACUCUUCAUAAUGAGAACUUCAAAUAGAUGUGAAGACAGGAGAAUAAAUUCAGUGGCUCCUUUCCUCCCUUUACUGAACAUCUGUUGGGAGCGAUGCCAUUGAAGCCCUCCAUUAUUAAUGUUAUUAUUAUGGUUAGAAUUAAGUAUGACUGAGCUCAUGGAAAAUCCCCAGCCAGCUGCAAAAAGACUAAUACAAAUCUGGUGGUCAGGAUGAAUAAUGAUAUGAUAAAGCUCUGACCUUGUUGAGAAAUACAUCUGACGUCAAGAAUGUGAUGACCUGUAACCUUUCUGAAAAACCAACAUCCUGCUGACUAAUAGAUACGACAAACCUGUGACCUUUCUGACAUCCUGUCAACAUCAGCCUACUCCCUAACCACACGAAUAUUGUGUCCUUGGCCUGCGUAAAUGUUUCUUACUUCCCCCCUCCCUCUGUUACCCCUGUUAUGGUAUAAAUUCAGCCUUGGGGAAAAAUAAAAUUGUCGCCUUGAUCAGACUCUUGGCGUCCUUCUUUGUGUCUCUUGUCCCCCAUUCUCUUCCAGGUACACCCUGCACCCGUCGUUGACAAAUGGCGCCCAACAUGGGGCUGUUUGGAGGUCUCCUGGAGGAGAACGUCGUCCCCCAUGAAUAGGCAAGCCUGUCUUCCUUGUUUGUUGGAGCCUUUGCUCCCCCUCAGAGCUUUUGCCCCACCCCCCAGAGCUUUUGCUCCCCGGCUUCUGGCAACCAUGGACCGCCGGACCUUGGUUCAGAGGCUUGGUGCGUGUUUCUCCCCGGACGAUGCAGAUCUCAGUGUGGUCACUUUGUCAAUCUGUGCUCUGUGGGUGGCGCUCCUGAUGUAAGGCCAUAACAUUUUAGUGCAUCAACUGGGAACUGUGCUCCCCCUAGACUACAGUUGGUGAAGAGAUCAGAGGGAUUGGUGGGGCACGAGUCACCCCACUGUCAUCCCAGCUACUCGUCCUCCAGAGAUUGGUGCGGCAUGAACCUCCAUUAGCAUAGUACCGCCCCAGCCAGACUGACGGCAGGUGCAAAACCCCACGCAUGCGCAGUACUGUUGUUAGGAGGGCGCCAGAUUCACCUCAUUAUCAUACAGCUGCCCUGACACGGGACAAGCCUGCGAAUGCACGGUACUCAUUCCAAGAAGGAGCGCAUGGAGGCACUGAACAUGUGAACAUGGUGCAGGGCACACGCGACUUCAUCUACAGCCUGCACUCCACCGACAGGAGCUGCUUGCUCCAAGAACUGCACUGCUUCAAGUCCAUUGCCAUCGCACAAGAAGAACUGGAAGCUCUGCCACCCACUCCAUAUGAGAUAUGUGUUCUUCUACAAUUCGAUACCUUUUGUAGGGUUUGGCUUUUUGGAUAAUGCAAUUAUGCUUGUUACAUGAA